AUGAGCCUUUAAUCAUUGUUACUUUUCUCAUUUUCAGAGUUACAUUCAUGGAAACAGUCAAGCACAAUUUGUAGCUGAAACGCACAUUGUGAUUUUGCUGAAUGCUGCAAUAACAUUAGGUAUGGUGCUUCUUCACGAAGCAGCAACGUCUAAUAUGGAAAUAGGCAAAAGAAGAAUUUUGUGUGUGGCAGGACUAGGACUAGUUGGGUUUUUCUUCAGCCUAAUGUUGUCUAUUUUCAGAGCAAAAUACCAUGGAUAUCCAUAUCGCUUUCUUAUUAGUUGAUCCUGGACACACACACAAACUAGAAGGACGGCACCAUGGCUUGAGAAAUAUACACAAAAAAACACUUGAAGUUAAGAAGAGUUUGGUUGUGUUUCAGAUUACUUUCCAAAGUUAUUGCAAUCAAGGUCUCUCAAAGGAAGACUUAAACCAAAGAGAGCCUACAGUGCCUUAGCAGAUUUUUAAGUUUACUAUCGGACAAGAAAAAUAUUUUAAAAAUUGGAAAGGUUUCAAGGUAUCCUGGGAAAAAUAGAAAAUAAUUUAAAAUUGUUUGCAAUUUUCAAAGAAGUAUGCCACUUCUGUUGAUUGAUUGAUUAAAGUGCCUUAACCUGAAUUGUACAUCAAAACUGAAGGGCUGAUUUGCAUACUUGUAAAUUUAUACUAGUUGGUAUGUGAUAUUGAAGUAACAUUUUCAAUAGCUUGACCUAAAAUGCCACAUUCUGUUCUGUACAUUGAGUCAUUUUCUUCAACAGAUACUGUGAAACUGGCUGUUUGCAUUUUGCAUUUACAAUAAAGAGAUGACUUGAUGUCUGUGGUAUCAAUAACUGGGAGCAAA